GUAGCAGGAAGGCGCUCAGGUCCGGCACAUGCCGGUGAAAAGGGAACGCGGUGCGACGCCGCGGCUGCCCCCGCAACUGUAAGCGGUGAGCGCGACCGGAAGAUGCCACUGGGGCCAACGCGGCCCCGGGAAGGCCCGGCCCGCGCGAUGACCCGCGAAGCCAGGAGACCUGCCAGAGCGAUCACCCUACC
rnacentral:ncRNA from 2 species